AAAAUAAAGGACAAUGAUAUAAAUUCGGUUUAAAAAACAAAAUUAAAAACAAAAUAAAAAGAUAUAAUAAAAAAAAAAAAAAAAUGACUGAAAAAAGAAAAUAAAUUAAUAAUGAAUUAUAAUAGCGGACAUUAUGUGACAAUAUUUACAUGUGUGUUUUUUCUAUGACUGAAAAAAAAAAAAAAAUAUUCUAAGACUAUAUGUCUACAUAAGUAGCUUUAGAGUUCACAAUUUGUAACACAUAGCAUAUAAGAACAAAAACAAAACGGGUUUGCGUAUAUAUACAUAUAUAUUUAUAUGUAUAUUUUCAAUACUCUUCUUAAUCAUUAUAUAUAUCAAAACCCAUUCGUGUCUGUGAGUCGAAUUAUUUUGCUUCAGAAUCAUCGCAACUAUUAACUACUAAACUUGUUGAACAUAUACAAACAGACGUAAGUGAUUUUAGUGUUACUGUAACGACAUCUAAUACAGCUUUAGUUAAAUUGCAAAACACAUUUUCUGAACGAGGUACUUGAUAAAUUACAUACCCUGGAUAAUACCCUGUGUAAUACCCUGGAUAAUACCCUGUGUAAUACACUGGGUACGUUGUGUCAUACGUAUAAUAUGAUUGGUAGUACAUUGUGAUAAAAUAAAAAAGCUUAAAACUUAAUAAAAAUUAAAAAAAAAAAAAAAAAAAAAAAA